AAUGAACGCUGGCGGCGUGCUUUACACAUGCAAGUCGAGCGAGGCGGCCCGCAAGGGCUAGUCGAGCGGCGAACGGGUGAGUAACGCGUGGAUUAUCUGCCCUGAGGUGGGGGAUAACCCGGGGAAACUCGGGCUAAUACCGCAUAUGACCGUGAGGUCAAAGGGGGGUCGCAAGAUCUCUCGCCAUAGGAGGAGUCCGCGUACGAUUAGCUAGUUGGUAGGGUAAUGGCCUACCAAGGCGACGAUCGUUAGCCGGCCUGAGAGGGUGAUCGGCCACACUGGAACUGAGACACGGUCCAGACUCCUACGGGAGGCAGCAGUGGGGAAUUUUGCGCAAUGGGCGAAAGCCUGACGCAGCAACGCCGCGUGGAGGAUGAAGGUCCUUGGAUUGUAAACUCCUGUC
rnacentral:rRNA from 1 species